ACGAACGCUGGCGGCGUGCUUAACACCUGCAAGUCGAACGGAAAGGCCCUGCUUUUGUGGGGUGCUCGAGUGGCGAACGGGUGAGUAACACGUGAGUAACCUACCCUUGACUUUGGGAUAACUUCAGGAAACUGGGGCUAAUACCGGAUAGGAGCUCCUGCUGCAUGGUGGGGGUUGGAAAGUUUCGGCGGUUGGGGAUGGACUCGCGGCUUAUCAGCUUGUUGGUGGGGUAGUGGCUUACCAAGGCUUUGACGGGUAGCCGGCCUGAGAGGGUGACCGGCCACAUUGGGACUGAGAUACGGCCCAGACUCCUACGGGAGGCAGCAGUGGGGAAUAUUGCACAAUGGGCGGAAGCCUGAUGCAGCAACGCCGCGUGCGGGAUGACGGCCUUCGGGUUGUAAACCGCUUUCGCCUGUGACGAAGCGUGAGUGACGGUAAUAGGUAAAGAAGCACCGGCUAACUACGUG
rnacentral:rRNA from 1 species